UUUACCCUGUGCUGUACACUCUUCACUUGAAAAGAAACCAGCUGAUCAAGUUUUUGUGAACAGACUGCAUUAUACCUUAAGCCUUCGCAGAAGGCAGGAAUUGUGGUCACAGGCAGGCAGUGGUCAAACACAGGCAUGCAGUUAAAAACAAACAAUACCUCACAACCAUACAAACAGAAAGAACUGAACUAAAUAGGGAACUGAUGAGACCAGGUGAGAAACAAACACAGGUGAAAUCAAUGAACAAAAAUGAAAGACGGGGCUACGUUCCAGAACACAAAGAAAAAGAACACAAGGUUGACUAAGAAAAGAAAAGCAGAACCUUACACUGAGACACCAUCAUUGGAAUAAUUCACUGGAUACUACAAUCAAAGUCACAAAACAGCUACCUUUGCAUGGAAGUGUACGGUUACUGUGAACAAAAGGAUUAGUGUUUCAUAAUAGCUCCACAUUGUGCAUUUUCAGACAGGCAUUGGGAAAGAAAGUGAUGGACACAGGAAGGUCUGAACAUGUGUGUGUGAGCUCGGGCUGAACACGAGAGGGUGUCUGACUGGCUGAGAGAGGGGACGUCUAGGAAUGCUGAAGAUGUUUCCGGAUAUGAGACCAGUGAAUAUGAGAUCAGUGAGUCCAGUGAAGCAGAGAACUAGGACAACAAGUAACAUUUUACUAGGGAAAAAUAAACAUUUUUAAAUCUUGAAAGUGAAACUUGGUAUCCACAUGAUCAGACCAUGUAAAUUUAUUUAGCUAGUUUGACAAAAACAAAAGCUGACUGUAUGUAAUGUAGGCCUAUUUUUGCGUGUGAAAUUGCCCAAUGUUGUUUCUACAUGUACUGAGAUGACAUGGCUUGCUUGUGUCGGGUCGUGGAAAUUCUUACACAGGAACACUCAAAGUCAAUCUUGAAUGAAUCAUCAUUUAUUUGUCAGCGUGCUGCACCAUAGUACACAUGUCAAUCAGGAGCUCUCCCUGGGCAGUCCCAGCAGUUGUCUUAUAUACGGCUAUACACAGACAAGUUAUAUUUGCAUGAUUUAGCAUAAUUAAUUAAUCAUUACCAUUUUGUUUUAUUCAUGUGACUGACCAAUAAUGGUUCAUAACAUGUGACAGACCAAUGAGGGUUCUUCUCUCUAAGCUGAGACCUUGAAACUGAGAUAUCCUUCGUUUUCAAAACAAGGUCUGGGCGGACUGCCAAAUUGCAGCUACUGAUAGUGAGGAUUCGUUCAGUCAGCCACUUGCAUGAACACAGAAAUUGGUUUAUUAGAACAGCACAUGAAUUGAAAACAGAAAUUAUUAAUAAGAAAAGCACAAACAUUAAAAUUCCCAUUAUACUUGUUUCAAGUUUCAAAGUGUACUGUGCCUUUAUAAAGUAUUCACACCCUUUGA